AGGACGUCUUCAAAGGCUUCCCCUCAAGUCUGGAGAGUUUCUAACCUUUGGUGUUUUGUUAAUGCUUUGAGGAAAUUGAGGAAUAAAAGGGUUAAUUUGAAUAACAUCCUCAAAACAAAGAUUUGUGACGAUGGAGGAAGAAAUCAAUUAUUCUACAGUGGUUUUUAAAAUUAGUGCUCCACCUUCAAAAGAGAAAGAAGAAGAACCGGUGAUUUAUUCUGAGGUCAAAACCAAAGAGUCUGUAGCUGCUGCUCCACAGGAAAAAGAAGGACCACCGAUUUAUUCUGAGGUCAAAACCAAAGAGUCUGUAGCUG